AAAGCGUGGGAUCUUAGGACCCUGCACUAUUGGAUGAGCCUGCGUCGGAUUAGCUAGUUGGUAGGGUAAAGGCCUACCAAGGCGACGAUCCGUAGCUGGUCUGAGAGGAUGAUCAGCCACACUGGAACUGAGACACGGUCCAGACUCCUACGGGAGGCAGCAGUGGGGAAUAUUGCGCAAUGGGGGAAACCCUGACGCAGCCAUGCCGCGUGUGUGAAGAAGGCUUUCGGGUUGUAAAGCACUUUCACUUGGGAGGAAAGGUUCGUAGUUAAUAGCUGCGAGCUGUGACGUUACUUUGAGAAGAAGCACCGGCUAACUCCGUGCCAGCAGCCGCGGUAAUACGGAGGGUGCGAGCGUUAAUCGGAAUUACUGGGCGUAAAGCGCGCGUAGGCGGUUUGUUAAGUCGGAUGUGAAAGCCCCGGGCUCAAACUGGGAAUUGCACCCGAUACUGGCCGACUGGAGUGCGAGAGAGGGAGGUAAAUUUUCCGGUGUAGCGGUGAAAUGCGUAGAUAUCGGGAGGAAUACCGGUGGCGAAGGCGGCCCCCUGGAUUGAUACUGACACUGAGGUGCGAAAGCGUGGGUAGCAAACAGGAUUAGAUACCCUGGUAGUCCACGCCGUAAACGAUGUCUACUAGCCGUUGGAGUCCUUAGAGGUUUUAGUGGCGCAGCUAACGCAAUAAGUAGACCGCCUGGGGAGUACGGCCGCAAGGCUAAAACUCAAAUGAAUUGACGGGGGCCCGCACAAGCGGUGGAGCAUGUGGUUUAAUUCGACGCAACGCGAAGAACCUUACCUACUCUUGACAUCCUCGGAACUUAGCAGAGAUGCUUUGGUGCCUUCGGGAACCGAGUGACAGGUGCUGCAUGGCUGUCGUCAGCUCGUGUCGUGAGAUGUUGGGUUAAGUCCCGUAACGAGCGCAACCCUUGUCCUUAUUUGCCAGCACGUAAUGGUGGGAACUCUAAGGAGACUGCCGGUGAUAAACCGGUGGAAGGUGGGGACGACGUCAAGUCAUCAUGGCCCUUAUGAGUAGGGCUACACACGUGCUACAAUGGUCGGUACAGAGGGUUGCCAAACCGCGAGGUGGAGCGAAUCCCUUAAAGCCGAUCGUAGUCCGGAUCGGAGUCUGCAACUCGACUCCGUGAAGUCGAAAUCGCUAGUAAUCGCGAAUCAGCAUGUCGCGGUGAAUACGUUCCCGGGCCUUGUACACACCGCCCGUCACACCAUGGGAGUGGGCUGCAAGAGAAGUGGGUAGCUUAACCUCCGGGAGGGCGCUCACCACUUUGUGGUUCAUGACGG
rnacentral:rRNA from 1 species